rnacentral:rRNA from 1 species
UUUGAUGGCGACCGGCGCACGGGUGAGUAACACGUAUCCAACCUGCCGAUGACUCGGGGAUAGCCUUUCGAAAGAAAGAUUAAUACCCGAUGGCAUAGUCUUCCGCAUGGUAGAACUAUUAAAGAAUUUCGGUCAUCGAUGGGGAUGCGUUCCAUUAGGUUGUUGGCGGGGUAACGGCCCACCAAGCCUUCGAUGGAUAGGGGUUCUGAGAGGAAGGUCCCCCACAUUGGAACUGAGACACGGUCCAA